GGGGGGGGCGAGCGUUGUUCGGAAUUACUGGGCGUAAAGGGUGCGUAGGCGGCUUGCUAAGUUGGAUGUGAAAACUCUGGGCUUAACCCAGAGCCUGCAUUCAAAACUGACAAGCUAGAGUUCUGGAGGGGGUAGCGGAAUUCCUGGUGUAGCGGUGAAAUGCGUAGAUAUCAGGAGGAACACCGGUGGCGAAGGCGGCUACCUGGACAGAAACUGACGCUGAGGCACGAAAGCUAGGGGAGCAAACAGGAUUAGAUACCCUGGUAGUCCUAGCCCUAAACGAUGGAUACUUGCUGUAGCUGGGAUUGAAUCCAGCUGUGGCGAAGCUAACGCAUUAAGUAUCCCGCCUGGGGAGUACGGUCGCAAGGCUG
rnacentral:rRNA from 1 species